rnacentral:rRNA from 1 species
GACCAAGGAGUCCUUCGAGUCGGCGAGCCAAUGGCCCGUCGUACGAACGCCAUAGGCGCAGCGAAAGCGCCCCCGCCGCCCCGCGCGCGGGUCGGUGCGUGACGAGACGAUGGCGGAGCGCGCGACGUCGCGCCGCCGCCCGCAGUCUCGAGGCGGUCCUCUAAUUACGUCGAGGCCGUCCUUCGAGCCGGCGCGAAGGCACCCGAAAGGUGGUGACCUAUGCCCGAUCAGGGUCAAGUUAGGGGAAACCCUGAUGAAAGCUCGCUAACGCUUCUGACGUGCAAAUCGAUCGUCCAAGUCGGGUAUAGGGGCGAAAGACCAAUCGAACCACCUAGUAGCUGGUUCCUCCCGAAGUUUCCCUCAGGAUAGCUAGAGCGGGAGAGGAGACGAGAGUUGCACGUGGUAAAGCGAAUGAUUAGAGGCAUUGGGGCUGAAACGGCCUCAACCUAUUCUCAAACUUUAAAUAUGUGCGAGCCGGCGGCCCCGGGAACGGGGCGCGCCGGCAAAUGAAGCGCUCUAAGUGGGCCGUCCAUGGUAAGCAUGGCCGGCGAUGUGGGAUGAACCAAAUGCGGAGUUAGAGUGCCUAAAGCUAUGUUAAUGUGAUACCACGAAAGGCGUUAGUAGCUAUGGACAACAGGUCGGUGGCCAUGGAAGUA